rnacentral:tRNA from 1 species
GCUCUCUUAGCUCAGUUGGUUAGAGCGUGGUGCUAAUAACGCCAAGGUUCGUAUUUCUCAAUGGAUGUAUGUCAUAGUCAUAGCUAACCAUCUUCACAGGUCACAGGUUCGACCCCUGUAGAGAGCA